UCCCCUAGUAACUGCGAGUGAAGCGGGAAAAGCUCAAAUUUGAAAUCUGGCAGUCUUUUUUUUCUUCUUUGGCUGUCCGAGUUGUAAUCUAGAGAAGUGCUUACCUGCACUGGACCAUGUAUAAGUCUCCUGGAAUGGAGCGUCACAGAGGGUGAGAAUCCCGUCUUUGACAUGGACUGCCAGUGUGUUGUGGUGUGCUCUCAAAGAGUCGAGUUGUUUGGGAAUGCAGCUCUAAAUGGGUGGUAAACUCCAUCUAAAGCUAAAUAUUGGCGAGAGACCGAUAGUGAACAAGUACCGUGAGGGAAAGAUGAAAAGGACUUUGGAAAGAGAGUUAAACAGUAUGUGAAAUUGUUGAAAGGGAAACGCUUGAAGUCAGUUAUGUUGGCUGGGGAUCAACCUAGCUAUUUUUUUGCUGGGUGAAUUUCCUAGUCUGACAGGCCAACAUCAGUCUUGACUGCUGGAAAAGAGCAGAGGGAAUGUGGCACCUUUGGGUGUGUUAUAGCCCUUCGUCAUAUGUGGCAGUUGGGACUGAGGGAUGCAGCAUGCCGUGAGGCUGGGUCUUUGACCACGUUCAUGCUUAGGAUGUUGGCUUUUAAUGGCUUCAAUCGACCCGUCUUGAAACACGGACCAAGGAGUCUAACAUGCCUGCRAGUGUUUGGGUGGGGAAAACCCUUGUGCACAAUGAAAGUGAAAGUUGAGAUCCCUGUCAUGGGGAGCAUCGACGCCCGGACCUGAGCUUUUAGCGACGGAUCCGCGGUAGAGCAUGCAUGUUGGGACCCGAAAGAUGGUGAACUAUGCCUGAAUAGGGCAAAGCCAGAGGAAACUCUGGUGGAGGCUCGUAGCGAUUCUGACGUGCAAAUCGAUCGUCAAAUUUGGGUAUAGGGGCGAAAGACUAAUCGAACCAUCUAGUAGCUGGUUCCUGCCGAAGUUUCCCUCAGGAUAGCAGAAGCUUAUUAUCAGAUUUAUGUGGUAAAGCGAAUGAUUAGAGGCCUUGGGGUUGAAACAACCUUAACCUAUUCUCAAACUUUAAAUAUGUAAGAACGAGCUGUCACUUGACUGGACUGCUCGGUGAUUGAGAGCUUCUAGUGGGCCAUUUUUGGUAAGCAGAACUGGCGAUGCGGGAUGAACCGAUCGCAAGGUUAAGGUGCCAGAGUUCACGCUCAUCAGACACCACAAAAGGUGUUAGUUCAUCUAGACAGCAGGACGGUGGCCAUGGAAGUCGGAACCCGCUAAGGAGUGUGUAACAACUCACCUGCCGAAUGAACUAGCCCUGAAAAUGGAUGGCGCUUAAGCGUGACACCCAUACCUUGCUGUCAGUGUUGAAGUGAUGCACUGACAAGUAGGCAGGCGUGGAGGUCAGUGAAGAAGCCUAGGCAG
rnacentral:rRNA from 1 species